rnacentral:misc_RNA from 1 species
GAAAUGCGUUAAGUAAUGUGAAUUGCAGAAUUCAGUGAAUCAUCGAAUCUUUGAACGCACCUUGCGCUCCUUGGUAUUCCUUGGAGCAUCCCUGUUUGAGUAUCAUGAAAUCUUCAAAGUAAAUCUUUUGUUAACUCAAUUGGUUUCUACUUUGGUAUUGGAGGUCUUUGCAGCUUCACACCUGCUCCUCUUUGUUCAUUAGCUGGAUCUCAGUGUUAUGCUUGGUUCCACUCGGCGUGAUAAGUUAUCUAUCGCUGAGGACACUGUAAAAGGUGGCCAAGGUAAAUGCAGAUGAACCGCUUCUAAUAGUCCAUUGACUUGGACAAUACUUUUAUGAUCUGAUCUCAAAUCAGGUAGGACUACCCGCUGAACUUAAGC